GGCUCCGUGGCUUAAUAGUUACGGCUUCUGCCUCACAAGCAGAAGGUUCAGGGAUCAAAUCCCGGCCGGUACCU
rfam:Culex pipiens quinquefasciatus supercont3.46 genomic scaffold, whole genome shotgun sequence.